CCCCCAAACUUUAAUUGGUCUUUGCAGUAUUGAUGGACAAUGUAAUAACACAAGAUAUCAGUGACAUCAACACAAGAUAUGCUUCAAGUGAUGUUGUCACCACACAUGUGAAGAUGACAAAAGAGAAAAUAUCAUCAGCAAAAGGUUAACUGCCCAAAAAAGGAGCAGCUACUCAGACCUGCAGUCCCAAGACAUAACAGGUCUGGAGUUCUUGCAAAAUAACACUAAUCCCAACCGCUUCCUAUGGCCUAAUCUGCACACUAACUCAAAUUGUUAAUAACAGAAUAAAAUGAGCAUAAAUUGUAAACGACAUGGGAGAAUUUAACAUUUCUCCUACUGCAAAGGAUAAAUGAAUAUCUGCAUUCUGUUACUUAGCCUAAACUCUGCACACCGUACAAAUAGUUAACACCAAAGGUACAACCCCUGCAACAGCAAAAGGAAGAUAUACUGAUAGUGUCCCCCACUAAAGUGUUUACUGUCCCUGUCCCUGCAGCUGCAAAGAGACCAACAAGGCAAAAACAGAAAGCAACUUUUCGCCUUGCACAAGAGCACCUCCUUCUCAGGUAGGCCUUGUUAUAUCCGUCGGGCAAAGAAUUUUAUUUCAGCCAAUUUAAAAACCUAAUCUGCACACCAUUUAAGAUCAUUAAAAUCUAAUCAAGUAAAACAACCAGGAAAAUAAAUAAAGUAUAUUACUGUCAAGAAUAGUGAUGUAAAAAGAAAAACAGCACUUCCAAAAAUAUACUCCUUCAGUUUUUAAAUAUGUGAUGUUUACGACAAGCUGAUUACUUUAGAAUAAACUAAUUAGCUUGUCCUAAACAUUAUAUACUGAAAAAGGAGGAAGUAUAUAAUAUAAUUAAACUGAGGCAUAUUUUUUCUAUACAAAAAAUCUAGAUGCAUAUGACUUGGAAUCCUGUGUGCUAAAACAGUUUCUAAAGCACACAAUGCACUAGGUGGGUGGUGCCUAGCACCUUAUCGCCAAUUACACAGAUCAAAAAGUGUUAGCAUCAUAUCUAUAACAGGCAGUCAGCCAUAAAAGAACUGCUGCUUGCAAGAUGCUGUCACAGUUUUAAAACAAGCUAGGUGGUUGCUUCAACAAUACUAAUAUAAGUUUUAUAGCCAACAAAAAAAAGGAGCAUUGGUUUUCUGAAAACAACGAAACACUCCAGACCACAUGGUCAACAAUAUUCACAUCAAAUUUAAUUUUUCAUGUCACUGAUUAGGAUGGUUUCCCAAUCGAAAUAUGGUGCAAGAGACUUGUGCGCGCAAGACGCAAAUCAGUUUGGUGAGAACUAGCUAUAACCUAAAAGAUGAACAGAAACAGGCACACUUAACUGCCAAGGGACAUUACACCUUAGCUUUAAUUUACAGCGAAACAGAAGAUCACUGGUAGAACUCCCCACUCAACAACACAAAACUAACAGUGGUAGCUAAAGCAAUACAAUUUUCCCUAUUGCCGGCUGCUACUGGAAACCGUACGAGGGAAUCCUAGUCCAGCAUUACGCUGGCGUCGACAUUGGUGACACCUUUGGGUGCCAUUCUCUCCGUGGAGUAGGCGGAGGUUUUUCGAUUGACAAGUAAUAGAUAAUUGAGACAUCAAGUUUCUAAGCAAACGGGGAGAUGUGAUGGAUUUCUUCUACAUAAGACACUGCAAGAUUGAAGCUUGAACGAAAGAGAAGGUUGAAGCUUAGUAUUCUAGCUUUUUUUCUUUGUUUUAGAGCUUUCUUUCUUGUAUUUGUGAAACCGCUCAUUUUGAUGUUUAGAGUCUAAGAACUCUUGUAACCAUUGGCUAUAUAUAUCUAUGUUGUCCAUGUUGUGGAUAUAGAGGCCGGAUUAAUACAUUAUCUAAAAGAAAGUUACGACUUAGCUUCA